GCUGGGCAUGGUGGUUCAUGCCUGUAAUCCAAGAAACUUGGGAGGCUGAGACAGGAGAAUCGUAAGUUUGAGGACAGCCUGAGCAAUUUAGUGAGACACCGUCUCAA
rnacentral:sRNA from 1 species